UACAGAGGAGCCAAGCGUUGUCCGGAUUGACUGGGCGUAAAGCGCACGCAGGCGGUCGCGCGCGUGGGGUGUGAAAUCUGGCCGCUUAACGGCCAGGCGCCAUCCCAUACGGCACGACUGGAGUGAUGCAGAGGUCGGUGGAAUUGCCGGUGUAGUGGUGAAAUGCGUAGAUAUCGUAAGGAAGACCAGUGGCGAAGGCGGGUCUCUGGACAGUUCCUGACGCUGAGGCACGAAGGCCAGGGGAGCAAACGGG
rnacentral:rRNA from 1 species